AGAGUUUGAUUCCUGGCUCAGGACGAACGCUGGCGGCGUGCCUAAUACAUGCAAGUUGAACGCAACAUAAACACCAGAGCUUGCUCUACCGUUUAUGUUGAGUAGCGAACGGGUGAGUAACGCGUGGGUAACCUGCCUUAUAGCGGGGGAUAACUAUUGGAAACGAUAGCUAAUACCGCAUAACAAUGUUAGAUGCAUAUUUAACAUUUGAAAGUACCAAUUGGUACACUAUGAGAUGGACCCGCGUUGUAUUAGCUAGUUGGUAGUGUAAUGGACUACCAAGGCGAUGAUACAUAGCCGACCUGAGAGGGUGAUCGGCCACAUUGGGACUGAGACACGGCCCAAACUCCUACGGGAGGCAGCAGUAGGGAAUCUUCGGCAAUGGACGAAAGUCUGACCGAGCAACGCCGCGUGAGUGAAGAAGGUUUUCGGAUCGUAAAACUCUGUUGUUAGAGAAGAACGUUGAUUAGAGUGGAAAAUUAAUCAAGUGACGGUAUCUAACCAGAAAGGGACGGCUAACUACGUGCCAGCAGCCGCGGUAAUACGUAGGUCCCGAGCGUUGUCCGGAUUUAUUGGGCGUAAAGCGAGCGCAGGUGGUUUAAUAAGUCUGAUGUAAAAGGCAGUGGCUCAACCAUUGUGUGCAUUGGAAACUGUUAGACUUGAGUGCAGUAGAGGAGAGUGGAAUUCCAUGUGUAGCGGUGAAAUGCGUAGAUAUAUGGAGGAACACCGGUGGCGAAAGCGGCUCUCUGGACUGUCACUGACACUGAGGCUCGAAAGCGUGGGUAGCAAACAGGAUUAGAUACCCUGGUAGUCCACGCCGUAAACGAUGAGUGCUAGUUGUUUGGGGCUAUCCAGCCCUAAGUGACGCAGCAAACGCAUUAAGCACUCCGCCUGGGGAGUACGACCGCAAAGGUUGAAACUCAAAGGAAUUUGACGGGGGCCCGCACAAGCGGUGGAGCAUGUGGUUUAAUUCGAAGCAACGCGAAGAACCUUACCAGGUCUGACAUACUCGUGCUAUUCCUAGAGAAUAGAGUCUUCGGGACACGGAAUAACAGUGUGCAUGAUGUCGUCAGCUCGUGUCGUGAGAUUGUUGGGGCUAGGUCCCGCAACGAGCGCAUCCUAUGUAGUGCAUCAUUAUGUGGCCACUUCUUACGGG
rnacentral:rRNA from 1 species